rnacentral:rRNA from 1 species
UACAGAGGGGGCUAGCGUUGUUCGGAUUUACUGGGCGUAAAGGGCGCGUAGGCGGGUGAAUAAGUCAGGGGUGAAAUCCCAAGGCUUAACCUUGGAACUGCCUUUGAUACUGUUUGUCUUGAGUUCGAGAGAGGUUAGUGGAAUUGCGAGUGUAGAGGUGAAAUUCGUAGAUAUUCGCAAGAACACCAGUGGCGAAGGCGGCUUACUGGCUCGAAACUGACGCUGAGGCGCGAAAGCGUGGGGAGCAAACAGG